GGCAGCAGCCGCGGUAAUACCGGCGGCUCGAGUGGUGGCCACUUUAUUGGGCUUAAAGCGUCGUAGCUGGGUACUUAAGUCCCUUGGGAAAUCCGACAGCUUAACUGUCGGGCGUCUAAGAGAUACUGGUAAUCUUGGAACCGGGAGAGGUGAGGGGGUACUUCGGGGGUAGGAGUGAAAUCCUGUAAUCCUCGAGGGACCACCUGUGGCGAAGGCGCCUCACCAGAACGGCUUCGACAGUGAGGGACGAAAGCUGGGGGAGCAAACCGGAUUAGAUACCCGGGUAGUCCCAGCCGUAAACGAUGUGCGUUAGGUGUAUCGGUGACCACGAGUCACCGAGGUGCCGAAGGGAAACCGUGAAACGUACCGCCUGGGAAGUACGGUCGCAAGGCUGAAACUUAAGGAAUUGGCGGGGGAGCACCACAACAGGUGGAGCCUGCCGGUUUAAUUGGACUCAACGCCGGAAAUCUCACCGGAUAAGACAGCAGAAUGAUUGCCGGGCUGAAGACUCUGCAUGACUAGCUGAGAAGUGGUGCAUGG
rnacentral:rRNA from 1 species